CAAUAGCGUAUAUUAAAGUUGUUGCAGUUAAAAAGCUCGUAGUUGGACUUCUGCGGGUGGCGGCCGGUCGUGCUCGAAACGGGCGUGAACUUGGCGUGCUGCCCGCAUCUUUGGGGAGAUUGUGCGUGGCAUUAAGUUGUCGUGCAUGGGAUUCUCAUCAUUUACUGUGAAAAAAUUAGAGUGUUUAAAGCAGGCCUUUGCCCUGAAUACAUUAGCAUGGAAUAAUAAGAUAGGACCGUUGUCUAUUUUGUUGGUUUACAGAUGUCGGUAAUGAUUAAUAGGGAUAGUUGGGGGUAUUCGUAUUCAGUUGUCAGAGGUGAAAUUCUUGGAUUUUCGGAAGACGCACGACUGCGAAAGCAUUUACCAAGGAUGUUUUCAUUAA
rnacentral:rRNA from 1 species